AAGAGCUUAGUUAAAAAAUAACAUUAACUUGUCAAGUUAAAAUUAUUAUUAGGUAAUAGCCCUUG
rnacentral:tRNA from 1 species